rnacentral:lncRNA from 1 species
GUCCCAGGCCCCAUCACAGGUAUAUGGAGGAGUGACCUACUAUAACCCCGCCCAGCAGCAGGUGCAGCCAAAGCCCUCCCCACCCCGGAGGACUCCCCAGCCAGUCACCAUCAAGCCCCCUCCACCUGAGGUUGUAAGCAGGGGUUCCAGUUAAUACAAGUUUCUGAAUAUUUUAAAUCUUAACAUCAUAUAAAAGUAAGUGCACAACUUACUGUGAAUAUUGUUAAAACUAAUGCUCACACUUGCUUAAUAAACAAAAAUCACUUAAUUAAUGCUUUUUUUUUUUUUUUUUUUUUUUUUUUUUUUGAGACGGCGUCUCAGUCUGUUAUCCAGGCUGGAGUGCAGUGGUGCAAUCUCGGCUCACUGCAACCUCCAUCUCCUGAGUUCAAGCGAUUCUCUUGCCUCAGCCUCCUAAGUAGCUAGGAUUACAGGCACGCACCACCACACCUGGCUAAUUUUUGUAUUUUUAGUGGGAAUGGGGUUUCACCAUAUUGGCCAGGCUGGUCUUGAACUCCUGACCUCAGGUGAUCCACCUGCCUUGGCCUCCCAAAGUGUUGGGAUUACAGGUGUGAGCCACCCCACCCAGCCUCUGAUUAAUGCUUUAAGUUAUAAUAAUCAUGGGAUAUCUCAGGAGGCUUAAAGGAGUCCUGAAAUUUGCCAGUUUGUUUGUUUGGCAAGUGUAUUGGGCAGGGUUGAAGUAGAAACGAUUGUUAACAUGACAGUUUUCAAUUGGGAAGCUACAAGGAAAAAAUACAGGAAGGCAGUCAAGG